rnacentral:rRNA from 1 species
CUUUGGGAUAACCCUCGGAAACGGGGGCUAAUACCGAAUAUUACCUUCGAUCGCAUGGUUGUGGGUGGAAAGUUUUUCGGCUUGGGAUGGGCUCGCGGCCUAUCAGCUUGUUGGUGGGGUGAUGGCCUACCAAGGCGACGACGGGUAGCCGGCCUGAGAGGGCGACCGGCCACACUGGGACUGAGACACGGCCCAGACUCCUACGGGAGGCAGCAGUGGGGAAUAUUGCACAAUGGGCGGAAGCCUGAUGCAGCGACGCCGCGUGAGGGAUGACGGCCUUCGGGUUGUAAACCUCUUUCAGCAGGGACGAAGCGUGAGUGACGGUACCUGCAGAAGAAGCACCGGCCAACUACGCGCCAGCAGCCGCGGUAAGACGUAGGGUGCGAGCGUUGUCCGGAUUUAUUGGGCGUAAAGAGCUCGUAGGCGGCUUGUCGCGUCGACUGUGAAAACCCGCGGCUCAACCGCGGGCCUGCAGUCGAUACGGGCAGGCUAGAGUUCGGUAGGGGAGACUGGAAUUCCUGGUGUAGCGGUGAAAUGCGCAGAUAUCAGGAGGAACACCGGUGGCGAAGGCGGGUCUCUGGGCCGAUACUGACGCUGAGGAGCGAAAGCGUGGGGAGCGAACAGGAUUAGAUACCCUGGUAGUCCACGCUGUAAACGUUGGGCGC